rnacentral:lncRNA from 1 species
UGAACUUGUAGGAUCAGUCCAUCAGAAAGGAGUGGACAGCUAGAAGCUUUCUCCCUGCCAUGGUGUAGAUCCAGGUAUAGGGGAAUGUGGAGUACUGGACAGGGCUGUGUCAAAGGCAACCCUGGAUCCUUCAACCUUAGAGAAGCUCUUUAUCACCUCCCUGAGGUUCCUCAUCUGCAAACAGGACAAUUAUGCCUACCCAGCCCAGGGGCAGUGACAGUGAGGAUUCCUCUGCUGGAGGCCCUGGCCACUCACCCCUCCCAGUACCAGGCAUGCCUUCCUACAAUUGUUACUGCUGGUGGAGCUCCCCAGAAGGGGAUGCUCACCCCUACUAUAGCCCCAUCUAAGAAUCAGGCCGUAGGCUAUUACCUACUAGAGCCAUAUCUCCACUGGGCAGGUCUGGUCCCUGGCCUUGCCAGGAUGUGGACAGCUGUGUUGACCCUGGUCUAGGGCUAACCUAGUUUGAUCACAUGUGCACAAAGUCUUUGAGCCACUCAAUUCAUGACUGUCUACCUGAUUACUGGUGCCAUUGCUAGGCCUUGCCUAGGUCCUUGCCUUUCUGCUCUCCACCCCGCACAAUCCUGUACCCCCUUUCAACUCUGCUUUCCCUGUCUAGAGCCCAAGGUCUGUGGGUGGCUGUGAAAGCCUCCCUGCCCCUGGGGCACUUCUCCCUGCUAGCACCUUCACCCCUUCUGCAUUCUCCAGUGGUAUGGGAACAUACCCCAGAGUCUGGUAGUCAACAUGAGGGCAGCAGGCCACAAGGAGAGCUACACUUCAGAAUCUCUGCCAUCUCCAUUUUUUCCAAUAGCAUCUUAGAGGGACCUGGAGCUAUUGAUAAGCUGCCUUCAGGUCAGGCCUAUGGAGCAGCAGAAGCCCCUAUAAGGAAAAUAAGAGACAGUGGAGACAUCUUAGGCAGAGAACUGCACCCCUUGCUGUACAUAUUCUGUUUGGAUCAGGCUAGGCUGAGCCUGACCUUGGGCUAGAGCCCAUCUGUGCCCUCAGUUCCUGGUGUAGAUUCCCCUGCCACAGGGAAGUGCCAACUGCUCUGCCUUCAGAACGGUGUUCCUAUGGCUCAGCCAGCCAAGUAGGCCCUCUCCACUAGAAGAAAGGCCU